rnacentral:rRNA from 1 species
GUGGCGAACGGGUGCGUAAUACGUGAGAAUCUGCCCUUAGGAAAAGAAUAACUGCUGGAAACGGUUGCUAAAUCUUUAUAUGUCGAGAGAUGAAAUAGCUUAGGCUGCCUAAGGAUGAGCUCACGCCUGAUUAGCUUGUUGGUGAGGUAAUGGCUCACCAAGGCCACGAUCAGUAGCUGGUUUGAGAGAACGAUCAGCCACACUGGGACUGAGACACGGCCCAGACUCCUCCGGGAGGCAGCAGUGAGGAAUUUUCCGCAAUGGGCGAAAGCCUGACGGAGCAAUACCGCGUGAGGGAUGAAGGAUUUUGGUCUGUAAACCUCUUUUCUCAAGAAAGAAGUUCUGACGGUACUUGAGGAAUAAGCAUCGGCUAACUCCGUGCCAGCAGCCGCGGUAAUACGGGGGAUGCAAGCGUUAUCCGGAAUGAUUGGGCGUAAAGCGCCUGUAGGUUGUUUAUUAAGUCCGUUGUUAAAGCCUAGGGCUUAACCCUAGAAAAGCAAUGGAAACUAGUAGACUAGAGUAUGGCAGGGGUAGAGGGAAUUUCUAGUGUAGCGGUGAAAUGCGUAGAUAUUAGAAAGAACACCGGUGGCGAAAGCGCUCUACUGGACCAUUACUGACACUCAGAGGCGAAAGCUAGGGUAGCAAAAGGGAUUAGAUACCCCUGUAGUCCUAGCCGUAAACGAUGGAUACUAGAUGUUGUGCAUUAUGUACAGUAUCGUAGCUAACGCGUUAAGUAUCCCGCCUGGGGAGUACGCUCGCAAGGGUGAAA